rnacentral:rRNA from 1 species
AGAGUUUGAUCAUGGCUCAGGAUAAACGCUGGCGGCGUGCCUAACACAUGCAAGUCGUACGUCCUGUCUGGUUUCGGCCAGGCAGGGAGUGGCGGACGGGUGAGUAACACAUGGGUGACCUACCCUUUGGUGAGGAAUACCGGCGAGAAAUCGCCGACAAGACCGCAUACGCUCUCGCAGGAGAGCAAAGCCUCUGACUCGCAAGAGCCGGAGGUGCCAGAGGAUGGGCCUGUGGCCGAUUAGCUAGUUGGUGGGGUAAGGGCUCACCAAGGCGACGAUCGGUAGCUGGUCUGAGAGGACGAUCAGCCACACUGGGAUUGAGAACGGCCCAGACUCCUACGGGGGGCAGCAGUGAGGAAUUUUCCACAAUGGGGGCAACCCUGAUGGAGCGACGCCGCGUGCAGGAGGAAGGUCUUCGGAUCGUAAACUGCUUUUCCCAGGGAAGAGAAGGGACGGUACCUGGGGAACAAGCCCCGGCUAACUACGUGCCAGCAGCCGCGGUAAUACGUAGGGGGCGAGUGUUGUCCGGAGUUACUGGGCGUAAAGCGCCCGCAGGCGGUGCUGCGCGUUUGCACGGACAGCUCCCAGCUUAACUGGGAAAGGUGUGCAAAGACGGCAGGACUUCGAGGGCCAGAGAGGGACAUGGAACUCCAGGUGUAGUGGUGAAAUGCGUAGAUAUCUGGAAGAACACCAAAGGCGAAGGCAGUGUCCUGGCUGGUACCUGACGCUCGGGGGCGAAAGCUAGGGGAGCGAACGGGAUUAGAUACCCCAGUAGUCC